UACGUAGGGUGCGAGCGUUAAUCGGAAUUACUGGGCGUAAAGCGUGCGCAGGCGGUUUUGUAAGCCGGAUGUGAAAUCCCCGGGCUUAACCUGGGAAUGGCAUUCGGGACUGCAAGGCUGGAGUGCGGCAGAGGAGACUGGAAUUCCUGGUGUAGCAGUGAAAUGCGUAGAUAUCAGGAGGAACACCGAUGGCGAAGGCAGGUCUCUGGGCUGACACUGACGCUGAGGCGCGAAAGCGUGGGGAGCAAACGGG
rnacentral:rRNA from 1 species